rnacentral:rRNA from 1 species
GCGACCGGCGCACGGGUGAGUAACACGUAUGCAACCUGCCUCAUACUCGGGGAUAGCCUUUCGAAAGAAAGAUUAAUAUCCGAUAGCAUAUAUUUCCCGCAUGGGUUUUAUAUUAAAGAAAUUCGGUAUGAGAUGGGGAUGCGUUCCAUUAGUUUGUUGGCGGGGUAACGGCCCACCAAGACUACGAUGGAUAGGGGUUCUGAGAGGAAGGUCCCCCACAUUGGAACUGAGACACGGUCCAAACUCCUACGGGAGGCAGCAGUGAGGAAUAUUGGUCAAUGGACGCGAGUCUGAACCAGCCAAGUAGCGUGAAGGAUGACUGCCCUAUGGGUUGUAAACUUCUUUUAUAUGGGAAUAAAGUGGUCCACGUGUGGAUUUUUGUAUGUACCAUAUGAAUAAGGAUCGGCUAACUCCGUGCCAGCAGCCGCGGUAAUACGGAGGAUCCGAGCGUUAUCCGGAUUUAUUGGGUUUAAAGGGAGCGUAGGCGGAUUGUUAAGUCAGUUGUGAAAGUUUGCGGCUCAACCGUAAAAUUGCAGUUGAUACUGGCAGUCUUGAGUGCAGUAGAGGUGGGCGGAAUUCGUGGUGUAGCGGUGAAAUGCUUAGAUAUCACGAAGAACUCCGAUUGCGAAGGCAGCUCACUGGAGUGUAACUGACGCUGAUGCUCGAAAGUGUGGGUAUCAAACAGG